rnacentral:rRNA from 1 species
AUACGUAGGGGGCGAGCGUUGUCCGGAAUGAUUGGGCGUAAAGGGCGCGUAGGCGGCCCGGUAAGUCUGGAGUGAAAGUCCUGUUUUUAAGAUGGGAAUUGCUUUGGAUACUGUUGGGCUUGAGUGCAGGAGAGGUAAGUGGAAUUCCCAGUGUAGCGGUGAAAUGCGUAGAGAUUGGGAGGAACACCAGUGGCGAAGGCGACUUACUGGACUGUAACUGACGCUGAGGCGCGUAAGUGUGGGGAGCAAACAGGAUUAGAUACCCUGGUAGUCCACACUGUAAACGAUGAAUGCUAGGUGUAGGGGGUAUCGACCCCUUCUGUGCCGCAGUCAACACAAUAAGCAUUCCGCCUGGGGAGUACGGCCGCAAGGUUGAAACUCAAAGGAAUUGACGGGG